rnacentral:rRNA from 1 species
GUAGGUGGCAAGCGUUGUCCGGAAUUAUUGGGCGUAAAGCGCGCGCAGGCGGUUCUUUAAGUCUGAUGUGAAAGCCCACGGCUCAACCGUGGAGGGUCAUUGGAAACUGGAGAACUUGAGUACAGAAGAGGAAAGCGGAAUUCCACGUGUAGCGGUGAAAUGCGUAGAGAUGUGGAGGAACACCAGUGGCGAAGGCGGCUUUCUGGUCUGUAACUGACGCUGAGGCGCGAAAGCGUGGGGAGCAAACAGGGAUUAGAUACCCUGGUAGUCCACGCCGUAAACGAUGAGUGCUAAGUGUUAGGGGGUUUCCGCCCCCUUAGUGCUGCAGCUAACGCAUUAAGCACUCCGCCUGGGGAGUACGGCCGCAAGGCCG